AGUAAAAAGAUAUUUAGGUAAAGAGAAAUUUAAUUUAGUAUGGAGAGGUGGAAUUUGUACAUAAAAAAUUAUAUUAUUUAUUUCUUUUAUUUGAUGCUUCGAAAAUUAAAUGGGAAACCGGGAUUAGAUACCCCGUUAUUUUUUUUGUAAAUUGUGAUUAAUUAUUUAGUUUACCUGAGUAUUACGGGUUGAGAAGUUUAGUAUAAAUAGGCAUAGCCAUUAUAGGGCUUCUCAGGUACUUAAAACUCAAAAAACUUGGCGGUGCCUUAUUUCCUUCCAGGGGAACCUGUCCUGUAAUCGAUGAUCCACGAUUUAGCUUACUUUUUUUUGAAGCUUAUGUAAUAAGUUAUCAGUUUGUAUACCGUCGUCGUCAGAUUACCUUUAAGAGUUAAAAAGUUGUCGGAUAAAAUUGGAGGCGCUAAUAGUAAAAUAGUAAUGGCGCUGGUCAGCUUCUGAUGUCARAUCAAGGUGCAGCUUAUAUAAAAGUAGAGAUGGGUUACAAUAUAAAUUUUAUAUAAUGGAUACUAAUUUGUAAUAAUUAGGUGAAAGUGGACUUGGGAGUAAUGUAGUUUAUAUUAAGUAAAUUAGAUAGUUUAUGUGAAUAUAGGUACUAAGGUGCGUACACAUCGC
rnacentral:rRNA from 1 species